CCUACGGGGGGCAGCAGUGGGGGAUAUUGCACAAUGGGGGAAACCCUGAUGCAGCAACGCCGCGUGUGGGAAGAAGGUUUUCGGAUUGUAAACCACUGUUAUUGGUGAGGAUGAUGACGAUGACCAAGGAGAAAGCUCCGGCUAACUACGUGCCAGCAGCCGCGGUAAUACGUAGGGAGGAAGCGUUGUCCGGAUUUACUGGGUGUAAAGGUUGCGUAGGCGGGCUUGCAAAUCAGACGUGAAAACCACAGGCUCAACCUGUGGACUGCGUUUGAAACUGUGGGGCUUGAGUGAAGUAGAGGGAGGCAGAAUUCCCGGUGUAGCGGUGAAAUGCGUAGAGAUCGGGAGGAAUACCAGUGGCGAAGGCGGCCCACUGGGCUUUAACUGACGCUGAGGUACGAAAGCAUGGGGAGCAAACAGGAUUAGAUACCCCUGUAGUC
rnacentral:rRNA from 1 species